GACGAACGCUGGCGGCGUGCUUAACACAUGCAAGUCGAACGGGCCUUGUCCCCUUUUUUUUUGGGGGUGGGGUUAGUGGCGAACGGGUGAGUAACACGUGAGUAACCUGCCCCUCACUUCUGGAUAACCGCUUGAAAGGGUGGCUAAUACGGGGUGUUCUGGCCUGCUCGCAUGGGUGGGUUUGGAAAGAUUCGACCGGUUUUGGUUGUUUUGGUGGGGGAUGGGCUCGCGGCCUAUCAGCCUGUUGGUGGGGUGAUGGCCUGCCAAGGCUUUGACGGGUAGCCGGCCUGAGAGGGUGGGCGGUCACACUGGGACUGAGACACGGCCCAGACUCCUACGGGAGGCAGCAGUGGGGAAUAGUGCACAAUGGGCGCAAGCCUGAUGCAGCGACGCCGCGUGAGGGAUGGAGGCCUUCGGGUUGUGAACCUCUUUCGCCAGUGAAGAAGGUCCUGCUCUUUGUGGUGGGGUUGACGGUAGCUGGGUUAAUGAAGCGCCGGCUAACUACGUG
rnacentral:rRNA from 1 species